GAGGUGUUGCCUCAGUGUCACUGUGUCAAGAGACUCUUCAGGACGGGAUCCACACACACCAACAGCUGCUCUGCGAAUAAGACAAUACUUACAAAACAAUCAAUUGUAGUUUACUUUAAGAGAAAGUUAGAAGUGUUUUAUUUCUUUUUUUGAUAUAAAGGAUAUUUUUUGAUAUAGGAGUGGGAGUCGACCCUGUUGAAGUGGUGAAAGCAGUCACCCGACAGCCAGCCAGACAUGGGCUGCUGCUUCAGCGGGUCUGAGGGGGAAGGAGAGGGGGACACUAAGCACGGGGGGGACAGCGGCUGUAAGACGUGCUGUCUGAAGACCAGGAACUGCGUGAUGAGUGGAGAGUGUGGGCGCGCUCUUCAGAUUGCCAACGUCUGUGCCAUGUGUGGAAUGUGCAUCCGCAUGUUUGUCUAGCUGUGACUCCAUGAGGUCAGACCUGCUCUCAUUCCCAUGGCGACUGUACAGAGAGCUGGGACCAAUAGGACCGGUAUGCCACUCUCCCAUGGGUGGAUCACCUGGGAUCCAGCCAUCUAACAAGACACACACCCUGGACCCGCCCUGUGCCUUACAGCCAAUAGAAUCAGCACCCUGGACCCGCCCUGUGCCUUACAGCCAAUAGAAUCAGCACCCUGGACCCGCCCUGUGCCUUACAGCCAAUAGAAUCAGCACCCUGGACCCGCCCUGUGCCUUACAGCCAAUAGAAUCAGCACCCUGG